GCUGGCGGCGUGCCUAAUACAUGCAAGUCGAACGAGAGCGACCGGUGCUUGCACUGGUCAAUCUAGUGGCGAACGGGUGAGUAACACGUGGGUAACCUGCCCAUCAGAGGGGGAUAACAUUCGGAAACGGAUGCUAAAACCGCAUAGGUCUUCGAAUCGCAUGGUUUGAAGAGGAAAAGAGGCGCAAGCUUCUGCUGAUGGAUGGACCCGCGGUGCAUUAGCUAGUUGGUGAGGUAACGGCUCACCAAGGCCGUGAUGCAUAGCCGACCUGAGAGGGUGAUCGGCCACAUUGGGACUGAGACACGGCCCAAACUCCUACGGGAGGCAGCAGUAGGGAAUCUUCCGCAAUGGACGCAAGUCUGACGGAGCAACGCCGCGUGAGUGAAGAAGGUUUUCGGAUCGUAAAACUCUGUUGUUAGAGAAGAACAAGUGCUAGAGUAACUGUUAGCGCCUUGACGGUAUCUAACCAGAAAGCCCGGCUAA
rnacentral:rRNA from 1 species